rnacentral:rRNA from 1 species
UACAGAGGUGGCAAGCGUUGUUCGGAAUUACUGGGCGUAAAGGGCGCGUAGGCGGUCUUCUAAGUCCUGUGUGAAAUCCCUCGGCUCAACUGAGGAACUGCACGGGAUACUGGAUGACUUGAGUUCGGGAGAGGGAAGCGGAAUUCCGGGUGUAGCGGUGAAAUGCGUAGAUAUUGGAAGGAACACCAGUGGCGAAGGCGACUAUCUGGGCAAAUACUGACACUGAGGCACGAAAGCAUGGGGAGCAAACAGG